rnacentral:rRNA from 1 species
UACGUAGGGUGCAAGCGUUAAUCGGAAUUACUGGGCGUAAAGCGUGCGCAGGCGGUUUUGUAAGACAGAGGGGAAAUCCCCGGGCUCAACCUGGGAACUGCCUUUGUGACUGCAAGGCUGGAGUGCGGCAGAGGGGGAUGGAAUUCCGCGUGUAGCAGUGAAAUGCGUAGAUAUGCGGAGGAACACCGAUGGCGAAGGCAAUCCCCUGGGCCUGCACUGACGCUCAUGCACGAAAGCGUGGGGAGCAAACAGG